UACGAAGGGGGCGAGCGUUGUCCGGAAUUAUUGGGCGUAAAGAGCUCGUAGGCGGUGUGUCGCGUCGGCCGUGAAAACCUGUGGCUUAACUAUGGGCUUGCGGUCGAUACGGGCAUCACUGGAGUUCGGCAGGGGAGACUGGAAUUCCUGGUGUAGCGGUGAAAUGCGCAGAUAUCAGGAGGAACACCGGUGGCGAAGGCGGGUCUCUGGGCCGAUACUGACGCUGAGGAGCGAAAGCGUGGGGAGCGAACAGG
rnacentral:rRNA from 1 species